rnacentral:lncRNA from 1 species
AGUAAUAAGCACAUCUCUAUUCUUGUCCUGACUGUAAUGUUUGUGUUAUUUAUCUCAACUUCGCAAGGGCUUAGUUUCCUCACCAGUGUUAAAAUACCUCUUAGAAUUGUGGGAUUCCUGUAUUCUAUUCUUUUGAGAGUGAGGCUCAAACAACUCCAUUGUUUCUUUAAUAUGGAUCAUUCAGCUUCAACCUAAUCCCAAUAUAUAGACCGUACAAUUUAAGAUAAUUGAUCAAUUCUUAACAUGCCCUAUUAUUAUGGUACAGUUACUUAAAAUGAGACAUUCUGUGUUCAGGUAUCCAUUUUUCUGUGUGAGUCAUAUACUCUCUAGUGUAAUAUUUCCUCAUCUUUAAAACCAGGAUUGUUGUGAAAAUUAAAUGAGUUUGUCCAUAUAAACAAUGUCUGGUAUGUGUUUUAACACAAAAUAAACCCUCAACUAAUGACAGCCAUUUUGUCAUUCUUGUUGUCAGUGGCCAAAUAGUAUUUCUAAACAUCCUUUCCUCCAUUCAGUUGUAAAUGCUUCGUGAUCAAAACAGUAGGUUCUACACAAGAGAAAAAUGAAGUGCCAUUUUCUAUAGCUUUUAAAUCAUAAGGAUAGACUUUCAAGUUUUGAUUUUAGUGUAAGAGUAUUCUUCCAUUGCCUUCCCCCAACCAUUUUGAAUCCAAACAAAUUGAAAAGAAUCUCAUACAAAUUAUAAGUCUUGUUUUACAUGAUUUCUCUUUAAUAUUCUGGAGUUUUUUGGGGGGAUAUUAUUUUUCAGUAAAAUCUUUGUUAUCUAUAAAAUGUACAUAUGUUUACCUGUAUAUAUGUGUGUGUGCAUGUAUGUGUGUAUACGUGUAUCUUUCCAGUGGUUCUCAGUUUUCAUUUUUCACCUAUUAUUCUUAAAUAAUGAAUCUCUUCUGUUCUGGAAUAUAUAGUUAUAGAACUCUACCAUUUAACAUUUUUAUUAAAGUAUAGUUGAUUUAUAAUAUUGUGCUAGUUCCUGCUAUACAGCAAAAUGACAUAGUCAUGGAUAUAUACAUUCUUUUUCUCAUGUUACUCUGUCAUGGUCUAUCCCAAGAGAUUGGCUAUAGUUCCCUGUGCUAUUCAGUAGGACCUCAUAGCUUAUCUAUUAUAAAUGUAAUAGUUUAAAUCUACCAACCCCAAACUCCCUGUCCAUCCCACUCCCUCCCUGUCUCAUUUGGCAACCACAGUCUCUUCUCUAUGUCUGUGAGUCUGCUUCUGUUUUGUAGAUAGGUUCAUUUGUGCCAUAUUUUAGAUUCCGAAUAUAAGUGAUAUCAUAUGGUAUUUGUCUUUCUCUUUCUGACUUACUUCAGUUAGUAUGCUAAUCUCUAGUUGAAUCCAUAUUGCUGCAAAUGAUAUUAUUUUGUUCUUCUUUAAGGCUGAGUAGUAUUCCAUUAUAUAUGUGUACCACAUCUUCUUAACCUAUUCAUCUCUUGAUGGAAAUUUAGGUUGUUUUCAUGUCUUUCUAUUGUGAAUAAUGCUGCAGUGAACAUAGGGGCAUAUAUAUCUCUUUUAAUUGUAGUUUUGUCCAGAUAUAUGCCCAGGACUGGGAUUGCUGGAGCAUAUGGUAGCUCUAUAUUUAGCUUUCUGAGGAACCUCCAUACUGUUUUCCAUAGAGGUUGUACCAAUUUACAUUCCCACCAACAGUAGGAAUUUUCAGUACACCCUCUCUAGCAGUUGUUAUUUGUAGAUUUAUUAAUGAUGACCAUUCUGAUUGGUAUGAGGUAGUACUUCAUUGUAGUUUUGAUUUGGAUUUCUUUAAUAAUUAUCAAUGUUGAGCAUCUUUUCAUGUGCAUACUAGCCAUCUUUAGGUCUUCUUUGGAGAAUGUCUAUUUAGGCCUUCUGCCCAUUUUUUAACUGGGUUGUUUAAUGUUUUGUUGUUGAGUUGUAUGAGUUUUUUUGUGUAUUUUGGAGCUUACGCCCUUUUCAGUUGCAUUGUUUGCAACUACUUUCUCUCAGUUCAUAGAUCUUGUUUUUGUUUUGUUUGUUUGUUUUAUGGUUUCCUUUGUUGUGCAAAAGCUUGUAAGUUUGAUUGUCUCAUUUGUUUAUUUUUGUUUUUAUUUCUGUUACCUUAUGGGACUGACCUAAUCAAAUAUUUGUACAGUUUAUGUCAGAGAAUAUUUUGCCUGUGAUCUCUUCUUGAAAUUUUAUGAUGUUAUUUUAUGUCUUAUGUUUAAGUCUUUAAGCCAUGUUGAUUUUAUUUUUGUGCAUGGUGUUAAGAUGUGAAACUAUAAUAUUCCUUAAUGAUUGAUUUGUAUGGUAAAAAAGUGGUUCUGUAUUGAUGAUAAGAAUUCUUUCGCUCACCAUUUCUGUAGAAGACAAAGAAUUCACUUGUCUUUUCGGUCCUCAUUCUGGUAGAAAGUUUCCCACCUGGGACCAGAAACCUUAGAAUAAACCCCAAGGUCAUAGUUAUACUCUCAUGCUGUACCAACUGCCCCUCUUCUAUACUCUGCAGAUCCUACAUGUCAGGAUAUUUGUUAUUAUCAUGUCAAUAAAAAAUACUCCCUUUUGUAAGGGGUAGUAAACAGUCUUAUCUUUGCACUAACCAUGUUGUAAUUUCCUUUCCUCAACUUAGUUUAUAGUAAACUUUCUCUCUUCAGUAACUUACAUAGAGGAAGAAACAUAUUGAUAUAUAGUUCUUGAAUACAUUUUUUGCUAAGGAAUGUAGUUUCUUGACUGAUUAAUAUGCAAAGUUGGAGAAUUCAAACUGUAGAUGUUUGUGAAGACCUGCAUCUACAUGCAUGCAUCUCUCUAUAUUUUUAAAUAAAUAUACAUGUGUAUACAUUUUAUAUACUUUUCUGGGAAAAUUAGGGAAUAUCUGUUUUCUUUGAUUUGCCUCUAUGGUGAAAGUUCAUUAUUGGUCAUAUACCUGGAAAUAACAUAUAUUCUUGAAGUGGUUUCCUUUAUUGUCUCAUUAUAUACAUAAUAUAAAUGAUGCCUCAUUCUCCUUUUUCUGAUUUCCACAAAGAUCUGAAUUUUACCACUUUCACUUUCUAAUUUGUCACUUUUUAUCUUUUUCUCUUGAGCUUCAGCAUAGGAAAUAUGUUCAAAUAACAUUUCUGCUUUACAAAACUAUCUCUAAAAGAGAUAGACACAGUGUUUAUAUAUACCUAAAAUGUGAUUGAAUCCACCAGGCAAAUCUGUCAAUUCUCAAUAAGCUCCCAGCAGCACAAGAUAUCAUAGUUUAUGCAGGUGCUGCCUAAGGCACAUAGUGUUUCUAGUCAUAUUCUUCUGUGCUGCCAGUCCUUUGACUCACAAGGUGCUUUAUUAUAUUGCUUUUCCCAUCUAGUUAAAUCAUAUUUCUGGCAUAUGAGCAUAUAGUCAAACAUUUUCAGUAAAUGAGAAUGUUUUACUUCUCCUACCUUGUAUGUUAUUGCUAAGAACUUGUAAGGAGGAACUGUGAGUCUGUUUUACUGAAGAUAUCAGCCUGUGUUCUCUUAGCAAAAUGACAUGAAUGACAGUGGUGAAGAAUUAAGAACCACAUGUGGACAGGAGAAAAAUCUAAGUAUACUCAGGAUUCUGUACAGUUACACAUGAUUUGUGUAUUAAUGCAAAGAUUUUAAAGACAGAAAUUUUCUUCUUUCUAGUAUCUCUCCUCUGAAAUAUAUUACUUAGUUUUAAAAAAUUAAACUAUUUGAAUGUUUUUUCAGCCCCAUCAUGAAUCACCAGAGCUGGAGACAGACAAGUGAAAAUAAUGGAUCUCAAAUACUCUUGCUUUAUUGGGUUUUCUUAUUUUGAAAGGACCCUUUCACUCAUCUCUCUGAAUCUGUGGGUCCCAGGUGUUGUUGAGAUUUAGAUUAAUAAAGACACCUCCAGGCACAAGUAGAUAUUCUGAACAUGAUUAGUGAAUGUCCAUUGCUUUCCUGGGUAGAUGAUGCAUAUAGCCAGUCAAUUUAAGGCUGCAGCAAAUGACCUCUAAAGCCCUCUUCAGUCCUGGAAUUCUAUUAUGUUCAAACAAUUAAACAGGGCAAGUUUCUAAUGUGUACACCUGCUCUCUCUGUCUUAUGGGAAUGGCAAGAUGAUAUAUCCCAAGAGAACAGACUGACAAGUUGGAGGUGGUGUUUGCCCAAUAUUUUGUAGGUUUUGCCUUACAACUUUAGCUAUAAAGACAUAGCUGGCAUAUAAGUCAGGCUUGUAAGAGUAUGUGUUUCCAAAUUCAGGUUUGGUUUACAUGUAGUGUAUGAAAUCAUUUCAGAUUUGUAUAUAUAAGACUGUACGUGGAGUAUAUACCAAGAUGACGUGAUGUCCCUGAGGUAAUAUUUAUUUUAUAACUUAAAGGAGCUAUUCCAAUAUUACUAGAACUGUAAAGCACCCAGAACCCUAUAAUGAAACAAUACUUUAUAUUUUAAUAGUUGGCGCAAAAACCAGUUUUCUUUAUAUGUGUAAAACGAACCUAGAACCCAAGGAAUAUCUCCUAAACAUAGGUGGACCCUUUUUGGUCCCUGCUCUCUGGUUGUUGAAUAUAACAUGCAAAAUAGAGUCAAGUGAUAAAGGGCAAUUCCUGGUGAGCAGCUUAUUUCAUUAUUUGCCUGGAUUCCAAAGUGCAACAUACAAAAGGACUUAUUAAAGCAAAACUAUAUGUCUCCAUUGAUAUAGCAAUUUGUGGGGCUGGAUAUUUCUGAAUAGUGAACCAGUCCCAGGAGAAAUAACUUAAAGCGAAAGCAUUGAACAAUAAGAUAGGUCAUUUCCCUAACCUUCAAUAUAAACUUUGGUCUAGGAAUUGGCUGACUAAUGGACAGCUAGAAAAGGGAAACUCUGUGCUGCCUUGUUGCUCUGCAAGGAGAUGUUAAUGGACUGUUCACAGAAAUGUUUGCAGGCAGGAAGCUGGGAAAUCUUGAGAACUUCACAUGUGACCUUUCACUGUGCACACUCUGGACAGAGAGGAAUGUCAAAACGCACCGAGAGCAAUUUUCUAGAGAAAAAUCAGAAGGGGUUGAUAGGAAAGGGAGGUAACUUUCCAUACUGCACCAUUCCCCUGUCCGUGCUUCAUAAAUACAGCUACACUAAACUGCUGCCCUUCCUUCAGAUACUCUGAUUAAAAAAGAAGAUCAUUACCACUUUUAAUGUCAGUUUCGAGUUCUCAGUCCUUUGUGAAGGUUAGUUAUACCAACUGUUCAUUAAGGUCAUUUGAAUUCCCCUAAUAUAAUCAUGUAUAUUUCAAAAUAAAAGAAAAAAGGAAAAUGUCAUCUGUUUCCACACUCCGUGUUUCAUGUUCACACACCCCCUACCUGGGAACUUAUUUACCACUACAGAUGGUCACAGCGGCGCUCUUGGGUGUUAAUUUCUCCAAUCCUGUUGCCCCAGCUGUUAUUUUUUAGGUGAGCAGAAAGUCUCUCAGAAACAAGUGCCAUUGAGACAUGUCUUUCCAUCUGCACUACAUAAAGGCAUAUUCAUCUUGCUAUUGUAUGCUGUUUUAUUAAGCAUCUCUCUUGUAAGUUUUGCAUUCCUAUGGGAGAAAUAGUUUUCCUUUCCAUAUUUCAUUUGCUCCAUUAUAAUCUCUAAUUCACUGAGGCAGAUAAUAUUAGAAUGACAAUUAUAAUGCAGAUAGAUCAUUCAAACAAAUAUAGUAUGGAGCUGAAAGAGCCAAACAUUUUUUCUAUCAAUACAGGUUUAAAUCUCUCAGGUGAAUGAUAUCUUUUUAUGUGUAAACCCUUUUGGCGUCAGUAUCAUAAAUUCUCUUUUGCUUAAGUCAUGUUUCUAAUGAAUCAGUGAGAUUAAUGAGGCACACAACUAAAAAUUCUUGGACUUACUGUAUUUUGAAGUGCAGGAAGUCCUCAAUAAGGGCCCAAUGGAAAAUUCGUUUUCCUUUUUCAGAAUUGGCAAAGCAGAAAACAAGGCUGGAACAUCACUCUGAGGCUUAUUUAAGUAAAGGGGCUCAUAUGCACCCUAACAUUGUUUCCUGUCCCAUUAAUACUUUAGCAUGAAAAUCUCUGAUGUUCAACCCCAUUUAUUUUAUCCCAUGCCAAUUCCUUUCUAUAAAGGCAGGUUCCAAAAUGUAUUAUAAGGAGGUAAUGUUUCCAUUCAGGCUGUAAGAUAAGUGAUAGUUCCCCUAGAAAAAACAGGGAGCAUCACAUCAAUAGAGUUACUGACCAUGACAGAGUGGUGACAGCCAGUUGCUGAUUGUGGUAGUUUGCUACAGCUGCUGUAACAAAGUACCACAAAUUUGGUACCUUAGAACAAUAGAAAUUUAUUGCUUCACAUUUCUGGAUGCUAGAGGUAUGAAAUCAAAGUGUUAGCAGGAUAGGUUCCUUCCAGUACUAUGAGGAAAGUGUCUGUUCCAGGCCUCUCUCCUUGGCUUAUGUGUGGUCAUUUUCUCCCUGUGUCUAUUUAUAUGAUGUUUUCUCUAUGUAUAUUUCUAUCUCUGAAUGUCCCCUUUUUAUAAGGCCAUCCAUUAUAUUGGAUCAGGGGUUCACCCUAGUCUAGUAUGACUUCAUCCUAACAAUUGAUUAUAUCGGAAUACCUAUUUCGAAAUAAGGUCACGUUCUGAGGUACUGGGACCGAGGCCUUCAGUAUGUGGAUUUCAGGAGGUCUAUUCAACCCACAAUACUUCUGUAUUUUAGGGAAAUUCCUCUUGUUUGCAAAAGAAUAUGAGAGGGAUAUUCAACAUCAUAUAACCUGAGGGAAAUGAAAAUUAAAGAUCCAUAAAAAUAUCAUUACACUCUACCAUAAUGGUUAAGGACUUACAUGUUUUUUUCAGUGGUAGAAUAGAUACCUGGAUUGUAAAAUGUUUAUAUCUAAUAUAAACACUAUUACAC